rnacentral:misc_RNA from 1 species
CAGAGUUUAAAAACUCCAACCCAUGUUAACUUACCAAUGUUGCCUCGGCGGGACCUACCCUGAAGCGGCCUACCCCGAAGCAGGUUACCCUGAAGCGGGGUACCGUGAAGCUGGCCCGCCGGUGGAAUUCUCAACUAGUUAUUUUAAGUAAAUCUGAGAGUCUUAUUUUAAUAAGUCA